rnacentral:rRNA from 1 species
UACGGGGGGAGCAAGCGUUUGUUCGGAUUUACUGGGCGUAAAGGGCGCGUAGGCGGUCGUGACAAGUCACUUGUGAAAUCUCCGGGCUUAACUCGGAACGGUCAAGUGAUACUGUCGGACUAGAGUACAGAAGGGGCAACUGGAAUUCUCGGUGUAGCGGUGAAAUGCGUAGAUAUCGAGAGGAACACCUGCGGCGAAGGCGGGUUGCUGGGCUGAUACUGACGUGAGGAGCGAAAGCGUGGGGAGCGAACAGG